rnacentral:tRNA from 1 species
GGGCGCGUAGCUUAGUUUGGCUGGAGCACCCGGCUGAUAACCGGGAGGUCACNGGUUCAAAUCCUGUCGUGCCCACCA